UGGGGAANUUUCCGCAAUGGGCGAAAGCCUGACGGAGCAAUACCGCGUGAGGGAGGAAUGCCUUUGGGUUGUAAACCUCUUUUCUCAGGGAAGAAGAUCUGACGGUACCUGAGGAAUAAGUAUCGGCUAACUCCGUGCCAGCAGCCGCGGUAACACGGAGGAUGCAAGCGUUAUCCGGAAUCAUUGGGCGUAAAGCGUCCGCAGGUGGUUUCCAAAGUCUGCUGUUAAAGACUGGAGCUCAACUCCGGAACGGCGGUGGAAACUUGGAAACUAGAGUUCGGUAGGGGUAGCAGGAAUUCCCAGUGUAGCGGUGAAAUGCGUAGAUAUUGGGAAGAACAACGGUGGCGAAGGCGUGCUACUGGACCGUAACUGACACUCAGGGACGAAAGCUAGGGGAGCGAAAGGGAUUAGAUACCCCUGUAGUCCUAGCUGUAAACGAUGGAAACUAGGUGUGGCUUGA
rnacentral:rRNA from 1 species